GAUGAACGCUAGCGGCAGGCCUAAUACAUGCAAGUCGAACGGUGUCUUCGGACAUAGUGGCGCACGGGUGCGUAACACGUAUGCAACCUACCUUACAUUGGGGGAUAGCCUUUCGAAAGGGAGAUUAAUACCGCAUAAGACAGUAGCUGGGCAUCCAGCAGCUGUUAAAGAUUUAUCGAUGUAAGCUGGGCAUGCGUCCAAUUAGCUAGUUGGUGAGGUAACGGCUCACCAAGGCAAUGAUUGGUAGGGGAACUGAGAGGUCAAUCCCCCACACUGGCACGGGGAUACGGGCCAGACUCCUGCGGGAGGCAGCAGUAGGGAAUAUUGGGCAAUGGACGCAAGUCUGACCCAGCCAUGCCGCGUGCAGGAUGGAGGCGUUAUGCGUUGUAAACUGCUUUUAUACAGGAAGAAACGACUCUUGCGAGAGGCAUUGACGGUACUGUAUGAAUAAGCACCGGCUAACUCCGUGCCAGCAGCCGCAGUAACAC
rnacentral:rRNA from 1 species